GGGUCAGUAGGUCGGUCGUGCCACUGGUAUGAACUGGUUUUACUGAUUCCUCCCUCUUGAAGAACUGUAAUGCCAUUAAUUUGGUGUUGCAGGGAAUCAGGACUGUUACUUUGAAAAAAUUAGAGUGUUUAAAGCAGGCUUUAGCUUGAAUACAUUAGCAUGGAAUAAUGAAAUAGGACGUUUGAUCCUAUUUUGUUGGUUUCUAGGAUUGACGUA
rnacentral:rRNA from 1 species